GGGGAGGCGAGAAAACGAAUGAGCGAAUAUAAACGAGCAGCAGAGCCGGCAACAACAACAAGGUCUGAGCUUGGACCCGCCGCCGUCUAAAGUCGUUGUCUGACAUCCCCAACCACAGGCCCACUUCCUGACCCACCACGCCCCCUCAUCAGGCGUCAGGCAUCACCCACCAGCUACCACUCACCACUCACCACUUACCACCCACCAGGCACCACGCCCGCCGACUGCCGGCAAACAAGCGUGACCUGCCACGCAGCAGAGCGACUUUGACGCACAGAAGCUGCACUUCGAGAAAAUGGUUAAAAUUGGAGAAAAUUACGAGAAAUUAUCGAACUGGCUAAGUAAUUUAGCAUAGUCCUUCGAGCCAGAUACUUGUGCAUACUAGAUAACCAGCGAUACGUUUUAUUUACUCCUACUGACUAUGUAAGUCAGCACGGUCCUUUGAGCCGGAUACCUGAGAGCUAGAAGACAGUGUU
ensembl:ncRNA lncRNA:CR44184 long non-coding RNA:CR44184